CAUUGAAUUGAUGAUAUACUGAUCCGAAUUUAUCAUGUAGAUUGUAAAAUUUCAGACUACAAUUAUCUGAUCAAUG